CUUACCUCUGCUAAGCAUCAUCAAGAUUUACUACUCUGACAACAGACCAGGAAUGUUAUUUCAGAAUAAGGGUGGAUAAGAGAGAUGCAAACGCACGCACACACACACGUAUGUGCAUGAUUACAAUCUGAGGGCAGCAUUAGGGCUGCAUUCACCAAGGAAAAGGUGGACAGACACCCCAGCCACCAUGAGGACAGCAGGCGUGGUGGUGCUGCUGGCUCUCGCCCUUUGCUGCUGCCCAGAUACCGUUGCACUGAAGGGCUACUGCAGUAACUACGUCGUACCCCGCAAUUUCUGCACGCUGGAGUACAUCCCACACUGCGGGUCUGAUGGUGUAACAUAUGCCAACAAAUGUUUAUUCUGCAAUGCAUUUCUGAGAAGCCGUCGGACUCUCAGGUUGCUGUACCUUCGAGAGUGCUAACACCUCAACUGUCUCCAGCUCAGACAGGAGACUCCUCCCUGGCAAUAUUCCCUAUGGCAGAGGCUGCCCUAAAACCUCAUCCUGAACUUUGAGAGCUCCUGAUAAAGCCUGAAAUGAAACUCUGCCCAAUAAAACAAAUAAACAAACAACAACAACCCUUCAGCAUGUACGUCUUGUUUUAAUAAUAUGUCUCACGAUGUUUUGUUUUUUUUCUUAAGGUGUUUUGUGAUUAUUUCACUGCAACACUCCUGGGGUGUGGGUAUUAAUGGGUAAAUUACAGGGAGAGAGAAUGCAUUGUCUGAUCUACAAAGAAAUCAGCUCCAUCUCCGAAGGCAAUGAGUUUCUCUGAGGGCCUUCACCCAGAUUUCCUAAAGACAACCAGAGCUGGGGAUGCAACCUGGUGCAAUGCUCCAGUGGAUUUAUCCUGCUAAGGGCAUCCCAAACAGACGCUCACUGCCUCCCUAGCAGGUGAGGAGAGAGGUGGCAAAGAAGGGCACUUCCCAGCUGCAUCUCCCCCCAUGGAAGUGGGGUAGCAAACACACCCGCAGGUGGGUGAAGUCUUUUAGCAGUCACUUUCUGUGCCUCCCCAAGCAGCAGGACAGGAUGUUUCCCCAGGCAGGGGGCACCUGCCUGCCUGCAUUUAUGCUCGUGACACUCAUCGGGGUGCGGGUGAUGUUCAGAGGACUGUGAGCAGGAGCUUCCGCAGCCCGUUUCGGCACCUCACCCACCACUUAGCUGCUGCUUGUAGGUAAUUGCGUCAGCUGCCACUUGUAGAGGAUCCUUUGAGAUUCUUGGGCCUCUGGAAAUCUUGGCUGAUGAAAGGAAGGGCUCAGAGUCAUAGCAUUAAUUUAUUAUUCAUUACCAGCAAAGUGCCGGCAGUGCAGCGGGCUGUACGGGCAGCCGUCUCACAGCCAAAUAGUUAAUGAUCUUAAGUGACAACGUGCCGCUUUCCAGAGACCAGAGAGAGCGGCUCUCUGGAGGGAGACUAUUUAUUUCCAGAAGAUGUGUGUGUGUGCAACCACUCAGCACCAAGCCCCUUCCUGGGGCUGGGAUGUCCCUCCUGGGGGUGGGAUGUCUGGGUGUGGGGAGGCAUUUCGGGACCAAGGGCAAUGCU
rnacentral:lncRNA from 1 species